GUGCUUAUCAAUUCUCACUUUCCCCAGCACUAUUUCUAUGGAGCUCAAUGUACUGCAAUAGCCAUGACAGUGGGAGCCAGAUGCUGCCUCUCAUUAGAUUCUCUUUAUUGGAAAUUUGAACAGAAAAAUAUGGAACGAACUUUAUAAUGAACAGUGGAAUGGGAAGUGAGAGAAUUUCAAGGGAAUGAAAGCUAUGGAAAGUCAAAGGCAUGUGUCAUCUUGAGUUACCAGGGGGCAGAAGAAGUUGGUCAUUAUAGAGAGGAGAAUGGAACUGAUGUGUAGAACGAAGCUGAUAACAUAAAAAAGCAAGAGACAAAAGACAGAUCCUCUGAAAGCUCCAAACAAAAUUUUCCCCACAGCUCCAUGGUAACCUCAGCAGAGGCUCCUGGAGGUGACAGUUCUGGGAUGCAAAGAAGGGCGAAUGAAGUGGGGCAGCUAUUUGUCCAUGUGAGUAUUUGGACUUCCUUGAUACACAUAAGAG
rnacentral:lncRNA from 1 species